UACGGAGGGAGCUAGCGUUGUUCGGAAUUACUGGGCGUAAAGCGCACGUAGGCGGCUAUUCAAGUCGGGGGUGAAAGCCCGGGGCUCAACCCCGGAACUGCCCUCGAAACUAGAUAGCUAGAAUCUUGGAGAGGUCAGUGGAAUUCCGAGUGUAGAGGUGAAAUUCGUAGAUAUUCGGAAGAACACCAGUGGCGAAGGCGACUUCCUGGCCUGUUCUUGACGCUGAGGCGCGAAAAGCUAGGGUAGCAAACGGG
rnacentral:rRNA from 1 species